ensembl:lncRNA
UCAAUAUUAGAAAAGACCUUCAGGAUGAUCCAGUCCAAGUGUUCACCCAGCGCUGCCACUGUAACCCCUAAACCUCAGCAACAAAUGCAAGAUCCAGACACCUGAACAUCUCCCUGGCAGCCUAUUCCAAUGCCCGAGCUCCCAAACAAUCAAUACAUUUUUCUCCAAACAUAAUUUGAAUCUGCCCUGUCUCGGCUCAUGACCUCACACCAUCUGCUGUGUCCCUCUCCCCUGUAGCUCCCAUAUUUCCUGCAGGGAUGUGCUGGGUUUGUGGGACGCCACUGAGCGCUCAGGCUUGCACAGCUCUGAAAUAAAUAAUUCACUGUGUCUCGAGUGUGUCAUCAUUGGCUUGGUGCACACCAGGGAAUAAAUCAAUGUCCUGAGGAGGCUGUGGCUCCUGGAAAGCUGCUGGUACUGUCAGGGACAGAAAUCACAGCCCCAGGUUUUUGCUCUGAAACAGUUUUUGCUCUGAAACAACUGCAGGAAACAACACAAAUUUGGUUGUGCAAUAUUGAGGUCAGACCUGAGCGUAGCCUCUUCUUUAGGCCCUUUAUCAAAAAUCUCAUCACGAGCCCCAAAAUCCUCUCAAGUGUGUCAGGACUUUCCAUGAAUGAAGUUAAAUAUCUCCAUCCUGCUCCCAGCUCAGGCUUACAAAGGGAAAACUUACUCUCUGCUUCAGCUGCUGCUUGGAAAAUGAAAACACAUCUCUGUCUGUCAGGACCUGGGGGCAGCACGAGACAUCAGCAGCCCUGCCCAGCCUCACCUGGCACCUUCUCCAGCCUGCAGAAACAGGAAGGCUGGGUGUAAGAGUUGUUGUCUCCCUGUUCUCCAGCUUGGAGUAAAAAUAGAUAUUUAAACACCCUGGAACAGAGAGCAAGAAGGAAGAGGAACAGAGGACACCAGGAAGAGGAAGCUGCAGGAUUCAAGUAUGGAGGGAAUCUCACUGAAGUUGAUGAGAAAUUCAACAAGACAUUUGUGAUUUUUGGGGAAGGACAUAACUUUUCAUCUGUUGUGGGGCUGAGCUCCCUGGGGCUGUGCCUCAGGCUGUGAACAGUGCAGAACCCCAUGGGAACGUUCUCUUUUUGACCUUCUCCAUCAUAACAAAGUGGAUGAACAGCUCAUUCCAGAGCAGAGUCUGAGCUGGGCAGUGCUUAGGGAAAGGACUGACCUAAGGACUGACAAUCCAGGUGUUUUACUGAAGCCAAGGAUGGAUUUCUUGGAUGGAUCACGAGGGAAGUGUUGGAUUGUCCAUGUGUGACCUUGGCUCUGCCCUGGAUAAACAAUCUCUCUGUGCUCACAGUAUUUUUGCAGCCCACUCCAAUUCAUCUGGACUGAGUUAAAGAAGGAGCUCAGGUUUCAGCUUGCUUAUUUACUGGGUAAAUGUUUCUUUUACAGUUAGUGUUUAAGCCUACUGGGAUGAGUACAGGCUGCCUGUUCUAACACCCUAUGCAAAUUUAUUUAGUCUCCUGUAUGCUAAAAGUGUUCAUUAGUUUUAAUAAACACAAAGAUUGGGAAAUCGAGAGCUGUAAUAAUUGCUUUACACAGCAUGGAACUUAAUAAUCAGGAAACAAACUCCUUUAAAGUCUCUUGUGUUUAUACCACUGGCAAUGAAAGUACUGCUUUUACACUGUUGUCUUCUACAGACCUGAUUUUUAGUGUUGUCAGAGUUUCCUUGAGGCCAUUACUUUGGAAAAUUAUCUGUUGGAAUUGUUGUGGUUCCUGGACUCGGUUUAAUUGCUGACUUGCUUUGUGACAUGGUAUUAUUUCAUAAAGUUACCAGUGGCCUUAACAGAUGUGUAAUGCAGCAGCUGGGGCACUGAAGUGUUUACAGUGUUCAGUUUGUGUGUAAAUCCAGGAAUACAGAAAUUGCAAAGAUGUCAGAAUUUAUGAUAGCAACCUAUUAAUCUGUCAGCAACUCUAAAAGCCUCUAAAAGCUCAAUUACCACUAAGGUGUCUCCAUGUUAUUCCCACAGCUCUGCAGGAGGGAAUCACGGUGAGGAAAGGGUGAUGCUUAUUUUGGUCAUUUCUAUUGUUUCUGUGCAUUUCCUACACCCUGUUUGUUUGGUUUCUUAACAUUUUUGCAAGUGUGAAAUUUUAAAAAACAACAACAACAACAAUUAAAUCAAUGCUCUGUCAGCCAGUUAAUCUAACCUUUUAAAAUGAUGUUUGCAGAGGAGCUAUUCCUGGUGAAUGGGAAAUUCAGCUGAGCUCUCUGGGUUUAUUUCUACAGUCAAGGGAAGGAAAGAGGUUCUUCCAGAAGGUCACUAAAUGUGCUCCUCUCUCCCCACCGACUGAAGGAAGGUCCUGCUGUCUCAAUCAGUGUUCUCUAAGCAAACCAGCCAGCCUUUAUUCCCUUACACCUUCAGAUCAGGGCAGGAAAUUCUAUUAAACCCAUAAUUACCAAGGACAGGACACAGUCAGGGCUCCUGGACAGUGGGCAGAACUUUCCCUUAGCUCCAGAGGAGGGAGCCUGGGGAAGCUGCUGAACCUCAGCAGCACUGCAGCUGUGGACUCAUCAGUGGGUGCUGAGGUAAUUAUUACCAAAUCUUAAUUAAUAGAUCUGUUCUCCCUGCCAGCAACAGAUCUCGUCCUAGUUUAUGUACUAAUAAAAUGCAUCUCAGAGAUGAGAAGUGCAGGAGUGUGCCAGCCAAGAGCUGUGAAGAAUUUGCUGUCAGCCUGGAGCCACUUUGUCCCCAUCUCAGGAGCUCCUCCAGCAGCUCAGAGCAGCAGAUACUUGGGGCUUGUCCCCACUUUCCAAAAGGCUUUUCCCCUUGAGCCCUGCACUCUGUGUUUCACAGGGAGCAGAGUUUAGGAGCAGCCUGGCAUCCAGCAGCACUGGGACGUGGGGAAAGAAGGAAUAUUUUCUGAAUUUUAAAUUAAUGUCUAUGAAAGUGCUUCUCUGCCAUUGCUUAGAGAUCUAAAUACUGCUGGAGUAGAGUUCAUUGUUUUCAUUUAAGCUUUUAUUGAUUAUUGACCCCAAAGAAAUUGCCCACAGACUGGAACACAAGAAUCUCUGCUGUGCAGAUUUGUAUUUCAUUUAAUGUGAUAGCAAAUACAGUUAUAUCAGAGAGGAGAAGCAUAUUCAGGAGACUUUCCUGAUGCUGCAGAUGGCUUUUUUGCAAAUACUGUACUGGUGAAAUCUCUGAAGGAUGGAGCAGAGUAAGUGAGGGCCACAACCCCAAUUUACAGCGCACAGAAUCAGAAAUGGAAAGGAUUUUUGGGAAGGCACUGAUUUUGUGAGUCUUGGUCUGUGUCUGUGCCCUUGUAACUGAGUGUGUAAACCCCUGGGGAUGUGCAGUGGUGCUGAGGAUGUGCAGUGCUCCUGCCCUCCCUUUUCCCAGGGGCCAGAGGUUGGGGCUGAUGGAUUUGGGGGUUUCUCUGCACUCACAGUGCAGGAUUUUAACUUUCCAGCUUUCAGAGGGCAGUGCUGCACACAUCCCUGAUGAGGCCAUGGCAACAGGAUGUGUGCACAGGGCUCAGGUGUUUCCAUGGAUAACCCAGUGAUGUCCUUCCUGCCUAUGGAAUGUUGACAUCACCUUUGAUGUGUGGAUCAAUGUGCCCAUAUGCUCUGGUUAGGAGUGAUUGAUGGGAUAGGAACUGCAGGCUGAUCCACUGAAAUAAUCUUGUUUUACAUACUAAUUGCUGUACUAUUUGAUGUUUCCUUCAAAGCAGAAGCUUUUAUCAGCAGUUUAAGUUGAGUUUGGAUGGAUUAACAAAGAUUAGAAUGGAAGUUGGAAGAAAAUAUGAAGUGUAAUACAUUUUAUGAUGUUCGUUCAGGACAAGAAAACACUUAAAAGAUUAAGUAGCAGAAUAACAAUGAAUUAUACGAUCUUUUUAAAAUUAAUAGAACUGCACUUUUUAUCUUCAAAAUAAGCCAAUGUCUACAUUAUAGAUGUGCUGGAGGAAGAACUGCUGAUUGUGGUACCUGCAUGAUACUCUGGCUGGGAUGAGCACAUGGAAAUUGGAGACCCUCGUGUCUCUGGAAGUGCUGAAGCUCUCUGGAAAUGGCAUUCAGGGUGUGCAAUUAUUGGUGUGACACAGAGCAAGGACAAAGGCUCAGUGCUGUGAUUCCCUUGUGGAUGUUUUCUUGCUGCUUAUUGAAGUGUUUGUUGUAUUCUGCUCUGCUUCCCCCUCUUUGGCUGUGGAUUCAUCACCUGCAGUUGAAGUGCUCACUGAAGAGUUGUGUUCAUCCGACAAAUUCACUGACUGUCACCUGGCUGGGCCAGCUGUGUCACUGAGCAGAGACAAUGUGGGCAGUCACUUCCUUUUUUUCUAAAUGCAGGAUUGCCCUGUGUACACAUUUCCUCCCUUGACUACUGCUGUGCUCUCCUUAAUGAAAUAUUUAUUUGAAACCCCUUUCCCAUUUGAUUUUUUUGCUUGCAUCCUAACGAGACGUGACAGGGGGAUAGCAGACUGCUAAAGCAUGGAGACCUGUAAAUAAAGGAACUGCUCCAUCUUAUUAAAUUUGUGAGGCAAAAAAAACCACAGAGAGGCCUGUUUCAUAUGCUAUUAGAUUAUUUCCUCACAGUCACAGGUAUUUUGGUGACAGUGGUUCAGAUUUAGUGGCUUUUUAAUGUAUCAAACUUAAUUUUCUUGCUGCAGCUCUGUCAGUCAUGAACUCAAGUUUUCUUCUUUGCUUUUUAAUUAUCUCACAGAUUAAUAUAUUAAAAAUGGGCUCAUUUUUAUGCCUCAAAUUAAGAUAGCUCUGUUUCAGCUUUUUCUCAAUUACUGCUGUAAUUAAGACCCAUUAACCCAUGGCAGAGAAUAAAAUAAGAAAGUAGAAACAAAAAUUAAAAAGGGGGGGAGAGAAGCCCUUAUUUGGCUUCCUUAAUCAUAAAUUGCUUAAAACUCUUUCUGGAACAGCCAUUAGAAGGAGAUUUAUUAAGGAACUUGACAGCCUCU